UUCAUGCUUGAAAAUAUUAUUACAAGGCAUGGUUCUCCGAAAUACUUUGUAAGUGAUAGAGGUACUAAUUUCAGAUCAGAGCUAGUAGGAGAACUUUUAAGAAUAAUGGGUUCGGCACGAUAAUUUUACAGCAUACCAUCCAAGCUGCAACGGACUCACGGAAAGAUUUAAUAAAACUUUAGCAGACAUGUUAUCAAUGUUUACCAAUACAAAUCAAACAGACUGGGAUGAAUUUGUACCUUAUGUUACACUACUAAAAUGUCAUCAAUAGUCAUCAUUUAUGCUCGUUUACAGACGAGAACCAAUUUUACCUAGUGAGGCAAACUUAAAAGGGGACGUAGAAUCGACAGAUAUUUUGAAAAUUAGAGAAAAAGCUCUGGCUGUUAGAAACAUGGCAGUGGAAAAUAUUAAGAAUAAACAAAACGUGGACAAGGAAAAUGAAAAAUUACUACUGAGGUGGUUUUAAAUUACAAAAAAAAGUGAGCGGCGUGGAUUAUAAGACUCAAAAAGGACCUAUCGCAAGAUCACCGAAAGAAAUUAUUCACGUCAACAGAAUUUUACUAUUUAACGACCCAUGGCCGCCCACGUUGAGUUACAAUCAAGAAAAUGAAGACGACGACGAGGCAAGUGCUGAGAGGAACUAGAGAGACUUUCGAAAAAUAUUUUAAACAAAGAAUUCAAAACAAGUUCAAAGUGAAGGAAGAAAAAAAAGAUUUGUUCGAUAUGCCAGAAAAUUACUCUCUAGCCCAUUGCGUUGCUGAAAAUUUUAGAAUGAAGAAAGGAAUCGCUACUAAAUUUCGCGAAAAAUUCGAAAAAAUUGACCAGUUACGAGGUCAAAAUCAAAGUACUGGUGGCUUGAGUUUUUAAAAGUAAAUAAUCAGUUCAUUUAUUUUACUUAGUUACUAAAGUCUGUCUCGAGAUAAGCCAAAAUACGGUGCUUUAUUUUCAGUUCUUUACACUAUGAAGGAGCAUAUAAUUAAAAAUAAGAUUGCGACAUAGAAAUUGUAAUAUGUGAAAUUUAGAAAAUAAUUCCUAAUAAAAAAAGAAAAUUUUGGUUUUUGUUUUUCCAAGUAAUCAAUACCAUUAUCCUGCAGGUUGAUUUUGUACUUUAUUCUUUGAAGAAUAUGAAAACCAAGCAAGAAUACUUCCAGAAUAUUGCAAAUGAAACCGUAAAUUUAGAGGGAAUGUUUUUGGGGGCCAAUACCAAAACACGAAGAGAAUCAUAUUACUUUUACGAACGUUCAAAAAUCAAGCGAUCAUUAACUCCUGCAAUCACCAAAUUCCAGUCUCACUUUUGGAACCAACAACGCUUCAACACGUCCUGAAGAGAUUACCUAGUUAGGACAAGGACUGGCUAUCCCUGUCUUAGACAUUUACAGGUAUCAACUAUCAACUUCCAAUAUGUGAUUGUUCUGUUUUAGAUACACAAAUAGUGAUAAGUGUACGAGUGCCAGUAACACAAAUAAACAUAAAGUGGAUCCUCUUCGAACUCAUACCUUCGCAUGGCAGAACGAAACCUGCAGGAUUUAGCAUGGAGUACUCGAGUACUCUAUUUAGCAGUCUCAAAUACACCUACCUCGGAAGUCUUAAGAAAUGCUAGACAAAUAUCGGGCUUCGCUCUACAUCAUAAAUUGUGUUUUCUUCCCCGUUUUGCAAAAGACAUGUUCCUAAGACCAGCAUGCGCAAAGCAAUUAUAUGAGGGUUCAACCAUAGAAGACAUUGGCAAUGAUUGCCCUAUGAACUGUCAUUCAUCAACAGCCGUGACCAUAACUGAAAUUAACGAAGAAUUAAUAAUAUAUCGUCACACACACCAAAAUUAACUGCAAUAAACUAACACAAUCACUAAACUCUUCUUUACCAAAAUAUCGGAGUCAUUGUAAAUUACAAAUUAACAACGAAAUAUAAAUUCUAUCAAGAUUCCCUUGCUUUGAUAACAACCCUCGAGAAGCAAAAAUUAACCAUAUUAUACCAGCGACGUGGUCAAAUUUAAAAUCAUUUGUUCUUAAUCCAGUUCACUAACCUUCGAAAUCUCUCUGAAUGGACCACAAUUGGUCCUUAAAUAACCCACAUAUA